UAACAAUGAGAACCUGUGUUUAGACUCUUUAAUGCAUUUGGCUCUCUGGCUGCGUUUGUAUGGUAAAAGGCAGUGGAUGUUAUUUAUGUGCUUAGCUGGGACUUAUCCUUUUGAAACAGGUCUAGACAGCUACCUGUUCUAUUUGGCUUAGCCUGUGCUGCAGAAAGUCCCAGUUCUUCCAAAUCAAGGUAAGUGAAACCUGGCAUGGUAAAGAGGGUGCAGAAUGCUCCUAAGAAAAAGGGUUAACAAGACAUCAUCCUUCCACCCCACUCUCCCCAGAGUCUUUCUACCAGGCUUCCAGGUGACAAGCUCUUGGGUUUGACGUGCUGGAGAACUGUUUGGGCCUCCGAGGCCGACACGGUGCUCUCAUUGAAACCAUUGAAAGGAGCUGGCUUCUGAGAGGAGGGGGAGCUACACAGUCCCAUCUCAUUGCAGGGGAAGCAGGGCUUUGAUUUAAGCCACUUUCAUUUACCAACCACAGGCAUCCAUUCCCUCUUCCCUUUCAUUUAGGGAAUUUGGAGAGAAAAUAAAUUGGAGGCUGAUUUUUUUUCUCUUGUUUGUUUUCCCAAAGCUCCAGGAAAUUGAGAAGCAUGUUAUUAGUUUUAGCAAACAAUUUAAACAAAACUAAGACCAGAUCUCCCAGCAAUGGUGAAGGAUCUCAAGGGAGACCUUGGUCACAGUGGGCCUGGCUUCCCUACAGGCACUGCCUGCCAUAGAGGACAAGCCAUCGAAAAGUGAGGGAGAAGAACAAUGACGCUGCCAGUGAUCCUGCCCCCAGCGUGGACCCUGCUGCUCCUUGAGGAAAUACACGGUCCUGGGAGCUCCGCUAGUGGGGUGCGCACCAUCCCACAGUGGUUCUGGUGCCUAAGAUGUACAUUAGUUGGACCACACCAACCAGCCUUGCACGACCGUUCUGAGUAAUUGAGAGGAGGGCCGGGGAUUUAGCUCAGUGGUUUUGCUGCCUGCUGCACAACCGCAAGGACCAGAGUAUCGCCCAGCAGAACUGAAUCAGCGUGGUUGGGUGAGGAAGACCCAUCUGAGGUUUGUAACCAAUAGCCAUAAAAAGAGAACUGGAG
rnacentral:lncRNA from 1 species